CGACUUUGAUUCUGUCCAUGGGGAAAUUUUCCAAACUAAGAAGUCACCAUCCUUCUACAUACUCGCAAUUCAUGAUUAACGUAACGUCAGGCUUACGAUCGAUCCCGGCCGCUUACGACCGCAUUUGACACAAUUUGACAUGAGGUUAAGUAAUUUGACAUGAGGUUAAAUAAUUUGAGAUUUGCGACUUGAAUUCACUGGGCAAGAAGAUACUGACGAAAUCUCAGAUCUGGCUGCAGUGCAACAAGUGUAAAUACACCACGCAUCAUGAUUCCUUUAUGAUGCAAUUUUUUUAUUAUAAUUUUCCUUAAAUUACAUUUAAUGAAAGUAUGCAUUAUUCAAACAACGACGGUUGUUUACGAAGUAACAUACGAUUAAAAGGAAUAACAAUUAGCAAUAUAAAUAAAAUUGAAAGAGCGAAACUGCGAUUUUUCCAACAGUGAGUCAAUUGACAUCGAUGUAUUGUCAACAUGACACAGCUUUGAUCAGCAAAAUAAACAUCAUUGCGAGUGUCAUGCGGAAAUUCAAUUAAAGCAACCAAAUGUAAUACCAAAGUGCCUUUGAUUUUUGCACAGUUAAUCAAACCAGGCACCGGCACGGACCAGUAUCCAGUGUGUUGUUCGUUGGUGAUGUCAUAUUUUCUGAAAAAUAUAAUUUGUAAUUAAUAAAUAAUUAUAUCCAUUGUUAAUGAAUUAAUUUUGUUAAAUAGAAAAAUUUGUUAUAAUAAAUUUAUCCGUUGAUUCUAAA